rnacentral:rRNA from 1 species
GUCGAGAAUCAUUCGCAAUGGGCGAAAGCCUGACGGUGCGACGCCGCGUGGAGGAUGAAGGCCCUAGGGUCGUAAACUCCUGUCAUCAGGGAGUAAGGGCUCAUAUAGUAACUGCUAUGGGUCUUGAUAGUACCUGAAGAGGAAGGGACGGCAAACUUCGUGCCAGCAGCCGCGGUAAUACGAAGGUCCCAAGCGUUGUUCGGAUUUACUGGGCGUAAAGAGUCUGUAGGCGGUGGGGUAAGUCAGAUGUGAAAUCCCGGGGCUCAACCCCGGAACUGCAUCCGAUACUGCCUUACUUGAGGGUCGGAGGGGAGUCUGGAAUUCUCGGUGUAGCAGUGAAAUGCGUAGAUAUCGAGAGGAACACUAGUGGCGAAGGCGAGACUCUGGACGACAACUGACGCUGAGAGACGAAGGCCAGGGGAGCGAAAAGGAUUAGAUACCCGGGUAGUCC